UACGGAGGGUGGCAAGCGUUAUCCGGAUUCACUGGGUUUAAAGGGUGGCGUAGGUGGGUCUGUAAGUCAGUGGUGAAAUCCCCGAGCUUAACUUGGGGAACCUGCCGUUGAUACUAUAGAUCUUGAAUAUCGUGGAGGUAAGCGGAAUAUGUCAUGUAGCGGUGAAAUGCUUAGAUAUGACAUAGAACACCAAUUGCGAAGGCAGCUUACUACACGAUCAUUGACACUGAGGCACGAAAGCGUGGGGAGCAAACAGG
rnacentral:rRNA from 1 species